UUCAAGUGUUAAUGCGCUGAGAAUAAUCUGUCGCCUCCUCAUAAGCCUAGCCUAGGCCGCUAGGCGUGUGGUUUGGGAACAUAGCUAAUGCCUGUAGGAUGUGUUGAUGCCAUGGGUAUUUGUUCUUGGGAAUUAAAUACGCAGGAAUCGCAAUGUUGGAAGGGAUAUCAUUUUAAUGUACAGAUUUGUUCCUUAUUUGUAUUCAUUGAGCAUUCUUUUUGGUAGAAAAAUGAUCUAAAGUUAUUCUCAACUUCUUAUAAUAGAGGUUGGAAUCUAAGAUCACUGUACGUCCGUAACAGAAGGUGUGUUUCUACCCAGUUUGGGAUUGUCAUCCGCGGUUAUAUAUGUCCGGUUCUAAUACGGGGAUUUCAUUUCCUUCUCAUCCAUCCUCGAGAUUCAUGCAAAUCCAGGCAUAUGAAAAUCUAUGAAACUGGAAAAUUAUGCGAAAAUUAUACUACUAUUAUCAAAAUUCUAUAAUUUGAAGCACAAUCUAAAACUACGAUCCAAAUUCUAUAUCCAGAGCCAUGGUAAACACGCCUUUAAUCGGCUACACGACAGAAUGAUUAAAACGUGUAGUUUGAGUUCGUUAACUCAUCAUUACAAAAACUAUUCCUGAAGCUGAUUGCUUGAAAACUAAAAUGGAGCUCCCCUCCCUUUGAACCCUGCAAUGUUGCAUCCAAAUUCCCUUUGGCGGCACCAUUUGAUCAUAGUAAUACUCUCCUUGUCGUUGCCUCUCUGCUUCACAUCUCGCAUAGCUUAUUUACAUUGAUCAUAAUUAAGAAUGUAAGAAUGGAGAAACAUUAGGGAGUAAGCUGAAUUCAUUUCUCAAAAGAACCCAUUUUUCGAAGGGUGGGGAGAGGAAAUUCCAGCUUGGAAGCCUUACUUGUGUCCAGCUUAAGAGCGGACAUGAGCAAGGCUUUUUGACUACAUCAAGCGAAAAUGGCUGAUUUGGAAACCCAAAAUUUCACCGACUUUCUUUCUUCCCUGCAUGAUUUCGCGUAUGACUUUCUUUAUAAAUAGAGAGAGAUGGAGUAGUAUCAUUCUUGAAGACUGGAGAGAGACCAACGGGUGCUAGUUUGGCGGCGAUUGAAGAAGUGAUACAGAGAUCCAGCUGAUGCCAGAAGAUGUGUUGAUGGAGAUCCUGUCGAGGGUUCCUGUGAAAUCCCUCCUCCGAUUCAAAUCAGUCUCCAAACACUGGUACUCUCUCAUCCAUAACCCUAUCUUCAUCUCCCUCCACCGCAACCGCGCCCAAAGCAACGACUGCGUCGUCGACGCCCAACAAUUAGUCUUAAGGGGGAAGGUCUUAGACGACGCCGUGUUUUCCAUGUACUUGGUGCCACCCGACGCCGUGUUUUCCAUAACAACGACGACGACGUCGUCAAGGGGGCUGUCUUCCUCUUGGGUUGUCACAACGUCCUCAUGUGUCUCGCCCAUGACUUAACCUCCUCCAUCGUCAUAUUCAACCCGGCUACGAGAGAAUCCAGGCUACUCCCUCAACCCCUUUACGAAUCAAAGCAUAGGAGCUAUUUGGGGUUUAGCUUUGAUCCCAGGGCUAAUGAAUACGAGGUUGUUAGAUUCUGCUCAAGCUUUGCGUUUAUGCCGUUUGUUGCGUUCGAUCAGCAUCACCCUUCUCACCACACAUCGUUUAAGUAUAACACCUACCGCGGCGAUCAGAAAGUUCAGAUCUACCAUCUGAGUACCGAUUCCUGGGGAGAAACCGACGCGGCCGUGCCCAAAGAUUUCCCUGACUGCCCGGAAUGUGGUUGUUGCACGUCAUUUGAUGGAGUUUUCUACUGGGUUGGUCUGGGUUGGUCUUGAUCGCGGUACUGGUGUUUCGGUAGUUAGUGCGUUCCGCAUGUUUGAAGAGCUGUUCGAACGAGAACCCUUGCCCGACUGCAUUUGCUCCCGAUGUAUGACUCAGCUUCGCGUUCUGCAUGAUUCCCUUGCCCUUGUUUUGUCUAAGUGGGACUUCCCAGGGAUGGAUGCAACCGUCCACAUAUGGUUAAUGAAUGAAUGCGGAGUUGACAAGUGUUGGACUAAAAGAUACAGUAUUGGACCCCUCUCAGAAUAUCACAGCGUGUUGGGAUCUCGGCCAAAUGUCGAGGUUCUUUUGCGUUGCUGCAAUAGCGGGAUAGUGUCAUACAACCUUAGUACUCAUGAGAUAAAAGAGUAUGCUCAUCAGUUAUGCAAGGGGCUGGAAUCGUGUGUAGAAGCAAUGCAAGUUUUUCAAUAUGCAUAUAGCUUGAUUUCAGUUAAGAGACGAGUUGAUUAGGGUAAAUUAGGUUGGAACUACAAUUACUCAUGCCUAAUCAAGAAGGGGGAGGUGAUAAGUGGUAUGCAUGGAAGUUUACUUGGAAGUCUUCUACUCAAGCACCUGUGAAAUAUAGGGCAAUUUAUUUAGGUUGCCAAUUCGUCGAGAAGAUUGAAGGGUUGGAUUUUCAUGGAUUUGACAAUGCACAUAUAUCCAUUUUCCUUUUUUCUCGUAUUUCAUUGGGUUUUCUUCCUAUAGGCUAUAGUACUUGACUGUGGCUUCAUUGCUGAAUUGGAUCAUUGGUUCCAACUUAGAUUGAGAAGGAAGCACAUUUGGUUAAAGUUUGAGGCAUAAGAUUUGCUACUCUCAAUAUAUUUUGUUAUUUUGCUAUUGCUCUAUUUGGUUGUGAUUAUUAUCAUGUGGAGAGUUGCACUAUCCGUCCUCCCAUCAUGGCUUCUUUUUAUACAACGGUGCCUUAAACUACAAAGUAGUGUGGCCUGGUUGUUGGCUACCCUUUGCUUCGUAUGGUUUUUGAGAGAACCAAACAAUAGGACAUUUGAUGGAGUGGUGGAGAUGGUUUGUAUUGUGAAGAGUUCCUUUCCCUCUAUUGUUCAUCAUUUGCAUGUUGCUUGUUUCAGUUUGUUGAUUUUGUGGAUUAUGAGCAUGUAUCUUUUGGCA